UCCCUAAAUCCGGAUUCAAACUCGUUUUCACCCAGCUCGUUCCAGAUUCAAACUCGUUUUCACCCAUCUCGUUCCAGAUUCAAACUUCUUCACAACUGUUCGUUCAAUCACACUCAGAUUCAAACUCACGAGUUCCAGAUUCUUGGUUCCUUCUUCAUUCAGAUUCAAUCUUCUUCACAACUCGUUCUUUCAAUCUAAGAUUCAGAUUCAACCUCGUUUGUUCAAGGUAUUUAAAACUUUCCGACGACCGCAAAAGUUGAGACAGAGCUAAUAUGACGAAUUAUAUUUUGGAGGAAAGAAUCGUGUUGUUUGACAUAGAUCAAAUCUCUAACUUUACACAAAGAGAGGAAUUUGAUGAAGAGAAAGAACCUGAUGGGAUGGUUCUCUCAGGAUGCAGUCAACCGGUGUCAGCAGCAGAGAUGAAAUCCAGAGAGGAAUUUGAUGAAGAGAAAUAAUGCAGACACCAAAAGCAAGGUAAUUUAAUUUUAACAUUUUUCCUGCAUUAUUAGCUACUAGUAAUAAUAUUCGGAAUUAUGUCAAUUUUCUUGUGCGUUAUUAGCUACUAGUAAUUUUGUUGUGCGUUAUUAGCUACCAGUGACUUGAAAUUAUGUUGUAUAAUUUCUGCGCCGGAAAAGUGUAGACGAUAUAAUUAAUGCACAGGAAGCUACAAAAAAACGAAAAAAAAAAAAAAAACUAACAUACCACUACUGGUAUUUAUAAUAAACAGACGUGAAAACUAAGCAUACCACUACGGGUAAAGGUAAUGACCCGUAGUGGAAUCCCCAUUUCUUUAAAAAAAAAA